rnacentral:rRNA from 1 species
CUUUGACGUUUCGGCGGACGGGUGAGUAACACGUGGGCAACCUACCCUAUAGUUUGGGAUAACUCCGGGAAACCGGGGCUAAUACCGAAUAAUCUCUUUUGCUUCAUGGGGAAAGACUGAAAGACGGUUUCGGCUGUCGCUAUAGGAUGGGCCCGCGGCGCACUAUCUAGUUGGUGAGGUAACGGCUCACCAAGGCGACAAUACGUAUCCCACCUGAGAGGGUGAUCGGCCACACUGGGACUGAGACACGGCCCACACUCCUACGGGAGGCGGCAGUAGGGAAUCUUCCCCAAUGGGCGAAAGCCUGAUGGAGCACCGCCCCGUGAGUGAAAAAAGUUUUCGGAUCUUAAAACUCUGUUGUAAGGGAAAAACAAGUACAGUAGUAACUGGGUGUACCUUGACGGUACCUUAUUAAAAAGCCACGGCUAACUACAUGCCACCACCCGCGGUAAUACAUAUGUGGCAAGCGUUGUCCGGAAUUAUUGGGCGUAAAGCGCGCGCACGCGGUCCUUUAAGUCUGAUGUGAAAGCCCACGGCUCAACCGUGUAGGGUCAUUUGAAACUGGGGGACUUGAGUGCAAAAAAGGAAAAUGGAAUUCCCAGUGUAGCGGUGAAAUGCGUAAAGAUUUGGAGGAACACCAGUGGCGAAAGCGACUUUCUGGUCUGUAACUGACGCUGAGGCGCGAAAGCGUGGGGAGCAAACAGGAUUAGAUACCCUGGUAGUCCACGCCGUAAACGAUGAGUGCUAAGUGUUAAGGGGUUUCCGCCCCUUAGUGCUGCAGCUAACGCAUUAAGCACUCCGCCUGGGGAGUACAGUCGCAGACUGAAACUCAAGAAAUUGACCGGGGCCCGCACAAGCGGUGGAGCAUGUGGUUUAAUUCGAAGCAACGCGAAGAACCUUACAAGGUCUUGACAUCCGUUGACACUGUAGAAGAAUAUAGCUUCCCCUUCGGGAGCAAACGAUGACAGUGUGCAUGGUUGUCGUCCACCUCGUGUCCUGA